UGUUUCCUUCGGGGUAGGGUGCAAUUCCCAACCGGCGGUGAUCAAGUGAAUACUUGUAAGCCCGCGACCUGCAGAGUAUGUACUUUGUGGCUGAUUUGGUGCGAGACCAGAGCCGACGGUAAGAGUCCGGAUGGGAGAAGGAAUAG
rnacentral:ncRNA from 2 species